GCUGUUACUUGAAUUUGUAUUAUUUAUAUUUAUUUAGAAAGCACAAAAUCACCACAUUAACUGCGUGUUUGUGUGUCAUACACAUUGACAGUGAAAACAAUAAAAUUAUAUUUUCUGUUUUUAUCUCUACUUUUCUAUUCUUUCUUUACAAAAAAAACAAAAAACACUAAAAACAAAAGCACAAAUCAAAGGCAUAGUUUUCUUUUCACCUCUCACUUUAUUUUCCUUUUUGUUUGAUCUCUUUUGUAUAAUAUCCAACAACAAAAAUGGGUUCAUACAGCAGAACAAGAUGUCGAGAUAUAUUCGAUUAUUAAAUUUACGAAAAAAUUGUUGUUAUUUUCAGGACUCAUCUGUUAUUUCACAGUUGGGGUUACCAGAUAUGCGUUUGCCUCUCCUCUACACAUUGUCAUGGCCAGAAAGAGUCCCUUGUUCUGAAGUAACUUGGCCCCGUCUUGAUCUUAGCAAGUAAUAUCACUUGAAAACCAUUUUAUUGAUUUAAGAGAGUUCCCUAUGCAAAUUUUUGGGUGAUUGAUAGAGUUUAUGUUCAAAAUUUGAAUACUCAGGUAUGGUUCCCUAACAUUUCAAGCACCAGACACUGAUAAGUUCCCAUCUGUGAAUCUUUGCUAUGCUGCUGGACGUGCCGGAGGAACAAUGACUGGAGUUCUCAGUGCAGCAAAUGAGAAAGCUGUUGAAUUAUUUGUUGAAGAAAAGUAAGUAGUAUUAACUUCCCUACUUAAUUUUUCUUAUGCAAAUUUCAUUGCAUUCUUUAUGUUUCUAUGGACAUUUUUAAUUACCUUUAUUGAAGGUUAUCAUACACUUGAGUAGUAUGCAUCUGGACUAUUGAAUUGCGUAAGCUUAUUUUUCCCAAGUAAAACUACUUACUAGUUUAUAUGAGAAGAACAAUCUUGUCUCUUUAUUAGAAACAAUUUUGCAGUUUCAAUCCACUAUUACAAUGACUACUCAUUUUCAAGAGAAUAUAUGCCACUUAACUUAUGUAGCAUGAAGAAUUCCUUCUAUUUGAAGCUAUGAAUAGUGAAAGAAACUAAUUGGCUGUUCCUAAGGAUGAGAGUUUGGAGAAGGAAGGAAAAUUAAGGGUUUUUAGUGUAAAAUUUACAGUAGAAAACUUUCUUUACCUUUCCUUCCAGUUCUCCCUGAAAUCCAACUCACAAACAGCCUCUAAGAAAACAUAUUAGUCCAAUAAUGUGUGCAUAUGCAUGUUUUGCGCAGACUCAUACCGCAAUUAGGGUAAAGUUAGCAAAACUGAAAUCUUAAAUCCUAAAUCCUAAUUCCUAAAACAAAUAAAACAUGCAUUAAAUACUGUUCUGAUUAACUACUUGGUUCUGUUUCCAGGAUUACCUAUCUGGAUAUUUUCAAGGUUGUGGAGUUAACAUGCGAAGCGCAUCAGAAAGAAUUGGUGCCGUCUCCUUCACUUGAGGAAAUCCUUCACUAUGACCAGUGGGCGCGACAAUAUGCUGCUGGUC
rnacentral:lncRNA from 1 species